rnacentral:lncRNA from 1 species
UGAUUCCACCGCCAACUCCAUCGAUGUUUCACGCUGAGAAUGGGCUUUUGUUAUUACUUCACUCUCUGAAAAGGAAUCAAACCUGCAUUAGAAACAUCAUGCUUCGGCCAGUGCAGACUGCAGUGCAGAGGCUCGAGAUGACCUUCAAGCUACAAAUGAGACUCAAGUACAAAACAAAGAAAUGACAAUGUGUAAGAGCAUACUUACAUUCAUCUUGCUGCUUACAGGAUAUCGUGUUAAAAAUAUGCAUGUUGCUGCAGUGGAGUCAGAAAGCAAAUCAACACUGUCUGAUUUAUCUGUCACAGCAACUUCUGGAGUACCAACAAAAAGCAGCUACUUUCCAGAUUCAGACUCAAAAAGUUACGACUCAACAGCAGAAAGUAAUGCAUCUCUAUUAGUGGCAGGACUCAGCAUUUUCUUUGUGCUGUUCUUUAUUUGUGUAAUUAUUGGUAUUUGGAACGCACGGAAAUUGUCAAAGCAAGGUUCAUUUGACAUUACUUCUGCCCCAUCUGGUGAAGCUUAGAUGACCUUAAGAACAUCAUGACGUGAGAACCAACGAGAAAAGAAGAAAUGAAAGUCUUAUUAGUUGGUAGCCAUUUAGAGGGCCCUUCCACAAGAGCGCAAUAUUAAAAAUAAAUAAAUUACUGAAACUGAAGAGAUCUUAGUU